UACGUAGGGUGCAAGCGUUGUCCGGAAUCAUUGGGCGUAAAGAGCGCGUAGGCGGCCCGAUAAGUCCGCUGUGAAAGUCAAGGGCUCAACCCUUGAAUGCCGGUGGAUACUGUCGGGCUAGAGUCCGGAAGAGGCGAGUGGAAUUCCUGGUGUAGCGGUGAAAUGCGCAGAUAUCAGGAGGAACACCAAUGGCGAAGGCAGCUCGCUGGGAUGGUACUGACGCUGAGGCGCGAAAGCCAGGGGAGCAAACGGG
rnacentral:rRNA from 1 species